AACGAACGCUGGCGGCGUGCCUAACACAUGCAAGUCGAACGAGAAAGGGGCUUCGGCUCCGAGUAAAGUGGCGCACGGGUGAGUAACACGUGGGUAACCUGCCUCUAAGAUUGGGAUAACUCGUCGAAAGAUGAGCUAAUACCGAAUAAGACCACAGUUCCCGCGGGAACAGGGGUCAAAGGUAGCCUCUGCUUGCAAGCUAUCACUUAGAGAUGGGCCUGCGCACCAUUAGCUAGUUGGUAGGGUAACGGCCUACCAAGGCAAAGAUGGUUAGCUGGUCUGAGAGGAUGAUCAGCCAAAAUGGGACUGGGACACGGUCCAGACUCCUACGGGAGGCAGCAGUGGGGAAUAUUGCGCAAUGGGCGAAAGCUUGACGCAGCAACGCCGCGUGGGGGAUGAAGGCCUUCGGGUCGUAAAGAUCUGUCGGGAGGAACGAAUGCUCCUGAGGUUAACAGCCUCGGGAGGUGACGGUACCUACAAAGGAAGCACCGGCUAACUCUGUG
rnacentral:rRNA from 1 species